rnacentral:misc_RNA from 1 species
CCCAACUAUCCCUAUUAAUCAUUACGGUGAUUCAGAAACCAACAAAACAGGACCACCGUCCUAUUUUAUUAUUCCAUGUUAAUGUAUUCAGACGUAAGCCUGCUUUGAACACUCUAAUUUUUUCAAGGUAAAGGUCCUGGUUUUCCACCACGCUAAAUUAAUAACAGGUUCCCAAGAAGGUAGAAAUUCCACACGCCAAUACAGACUAUUGCCCGACCAACGGUAGAACCCCAAAAUUCAAUUACGAGCUUUUUAACUGCAACAACUUUAAUAUACGCUAUUGGAGCUGGAAUUACCGCGGCUGCUGGCACCAGACUUGCCCUCCAA